rnacentral:rRNA from 1 species
GGGUUGUGAGGUUAAGCGACUAAGCGUACACGGUGGAUGCCCUGGCAGUCAGAGGCGAUGAAGGACGUGCUAAUCUGCGAUAAGCGUCGGUGAGGUGAUAUGAACCGUUAUAACCGGCGAUUUCCGAAUGGGGAAACCCAGUGUGUUUCGACACACUAUCAUUAACUGAAUCCAUAGGUUAAUGAGGCGAACCGGGGGAACUGAAACAUCUAAGUACCCCGAGGAAAAGAAAUCAACCGAGAUUCCCCCAGUAGCGGCGAGCGAACGGGGAGGAGCCCAGAGCCUGAAUCAGUGUGUGUGUUAGUGGAAGCGUCUGGAAAGGCGUGCGAUACAGGGUGACAGCCCCGUACACAAAAAUGCACAUAUUGUGAGCUCGAUGAGUAGGGCGGGACACGUGGUAUCCUGUCUGAAUAUGGGGGGACCAUCCUCCAAGGCUAAAUACUCCUGACUGACCGAUAGUGAACCAGUACCGUGAGGGAAAGGCGAAAAGAACCCCGGCGAGGGGAGUGAAAAAGAACCUGAAACCGUGUACGUACAAGCAGUGGGAGCCUCUUAAUGGGGUGACUGCGUACCUUUUGUAUAAUGGGUCAGCGACUUAUAUUCUGUAGCAAGGUUAACCGAAUAGGGGAGCCGAAGGGAAACCGAGUCUUAACUGGGCGUUAAGUUGCAGGGUAUAGACCCGAAACCCGGUGAUCUAGCCAUGGGCAGGUUGAAGGUUGGGUAACACUAACUGGAGGACCGAACCGACUAAUGUUGAAAAAUUAGCGGAUGACUUGUGGCUGGGGGUGAAAGGCCAAUCAAACCGGGAGAUAGCUGGUUCUCCCCGAAAGCUAUUUAGGUAGCGCCUCGUGAAUUCAUCUCCGGGGGUAGAGCACUGUUUCGGCAAGGGGGUCAUCCCGACUUACCAACCCGAUGCAAACUGCGAAUACCGGAGAAUGUUAUCACGGGAGACACACGGCGGGUGCUAACGUCCGUCGUGAAGAGGGAAACAACCCAGACCGCCAGCUAAGGUCCCAAAGUCAUGGUUAAGUGGGAAACGAUGUGGGAAGGCCCAGACAGCCAGGAUGUUGGCUUAGAAGCAGCCAUCAUUUAAAGAAAGCGUAAUAGCUCACUGGUCGAGUCGGCCUGCGCGGAAGAUGUAACGGGGCUAAACCAUGCACCGAAGCUGCGGCAGCGACACUAUGUGUUGUUGGGUAGGGGAGCGUUCUGUAAGCCUGUGAAGGUGGCCUGUGAGGGUUGCUGGAGGUAUCAGAAGUGCGAAUGCUGACAUAAGUAACGAUAAAGCGGGUGAAAAGCCCGCUCGCCGGAAGACCAAGGGUUCCUGUCCAACGUUAAUCGGGGCAGGGUGAGUCGACCCCUAAGGCGAGGCCGAAAGGCGUAGUCGAUGGGAAACAGGUUAAUAUUCCUGUACUUGGUGUUACUGCGAAGGGGGGACGGAGAAGGCUAUGUUGGCCGGGCGACGGUUGUCCCGGUUUAAGCGUGUAGGCUGGUUUUCCAGGCAAAUCCGGAAAACCAAGGCUGAGGCGUGAUGACGAGGCACUACGGUGCUGAAGCGACAAAUGCCCUGCUUCCAGGAAAAGCCUCUAAGCAUCAGGUAACAUCAAAUCGUACCCCAAACCGACACAGGUGGUCAGGUAGAGAAUACCAAGGCGCUUGAGAGAACUCGGGUGAAGGAACUAGGCAAAAUGGUGCCGUAACUUCGGGAGAAGG